rnacentral:pre_miRNA from 1 species
GGGAGCGCAGGAUCCUGGGCUGUGUCCCCCGCGCCCUGGGCUCCGGGGCCUGUGCUGCUGGAAUCAUGCUCCUGGGGCCAGGGCUCCC